UACGUAGGUGGCAAGCGUUGUCCGGAUUUACUGGGCGUAAAGGGCGUGCAGGCGGUUUGUUAAGUCUAGGGUGAAAGCUCCCGGCUCAACUGGGAGAGGUCCUUGGAUACUGGCGAACUUGAGGGAUGCAGAGGAAAGUGGAAUUCCCGGUGUAGUGGUGAAAUGCGCAGAUAUCAGGAAGAACACCCGUGGCUAAGGCGGCUCUCUAGUACGGUACUGACGCUGAGACGCGAAAGCGUGGGGAGCGAACAGG
rnacentral:rRNA from 1 species